rnacentral:rRNA from 1 species
UACGUAGGUGGCAAACGUUGUCCGGAUUCACUGGGCGUAAAGCGCGCGCAGGCGGAUUGGUCAGUCUGGGGUGAAAUCUCUCGGCUCAACUGAGAGAGGUCCCUGGAUACUGCCAGUCUUGAGGGGCUCAGAGGAGAGUGGAAUUCCGCGUGUAGUGGUGGAAUGCGUAGAUACGCGGAGGAACACCAGUGGCGAAAGCGGCUCUCUGGGGGCCACCUGACGCUGAGGCGCGAAAGCGUGGGGAGCGAACAGG